GUUUUCUUGGAAGUCGGAUUUCUUGUCUCUGUACAAAACAAAAUCCACCCAUGCGCACAUCGAAUCUCUCUCUCUCUUUUUCUUGUAGACAGAAAACCCUCCAUUUGAGUCAUCAUCAAAUCCUUCAUUUUCAUCUUCUUUUUUACUUUCUUGUGUUUUUCUUUUUCUUCAAUCUUUAAUAUUGGUGCUUGCUUUCUUCCUUCUUCUUCUUGUUGAGCCCUGAUCUGGUGCCCCAAAAUACCCACAUUUGUUGUUCUUUGGAAACCCCAUCUGAAAAGAUCCC
rnacentral:misc_RNA from 1 species